rnacentral:lncRNA from 1 species
UCCAAUCUGGGAGCUGUUCCCAGAUGAGAGCAGCAAGCCUUGGAAUUGUCUGAAGGGGAGAAAGAGGGAUCCUUUCAGCACAAGGAUCAGCUGUCAAACUUGGAGAUAUUAUCAGACUAUUCCUCGGGAGUGCUUAGUUCCCAAGCCAAGUCAACUCCUGCCUUGUGAAGCUCAGGAAUCUGGGAAGAGCCGAAUUAAUGUAGGUAAUAGACUGGCAGGUUAAACUGCUGGGGAAUGGCAGGGAAAAGCAUCCUAUAGGAUGCCUCAAUUUGUACAGGAAUCAUGGAAAAAUCUGUCCAAAAGAACAGGAGUCAAAUGGGAUUUACAUAUUCCUUGCAGACCACAAUCCAGUGGGAAGGUUGAGGGAAGGAAACAAAGCCUAAAAAGGCAAAUGAGCCAAACCUGCCAAAACUCUCAAAUGGCUACAUUCCUUGGCAUUGCUGAGGAAUUCAGCCAAGCUCCAAGCAAAAGUCUCACCAGUAACCUGGGAUAUCCAAGUCCAUCCUGCCCAGCAGGGAGACUGGGGAGUACAUCCAGACAUGGAGAAUUUCUGGGAGAGCCCCGGAGAAGAAAGAAGGCUCCAGCCUUGCAGAUUAUUGUGGGUAACUGCGGAGAGUAUUUGGGAAGCCUUCCAAAGCUGGAACAGACAGGGAAGAAAAUUCCAAGAGUGGUGGGAGGUACUUUCUCCCAGGACUGGACAGCACUGAGAUGCUGGAACUGCCGCUGGAUGAGUGCUGAGCUCUCGUUGCUAUGGAUUCUGCUGCCUUAAUUGCUGCGGGUUCCAGUCACUGGAGAAUUGGAAAUACUUACUAAUUAGACCACAGAGAUGUUUUCUGAAACCUUUCUCUUAUUUUUGCCUUUAGUGGUAGAUUUUCUGCCUUUUGAAUUUACAGUGAUUCUCUCAUGUUACUCACCUACCCAAAUUCCUUGCAGCUCAUGGGGCAGAGAAAAGCUUCUCCUGUGUGUGAGGUUUGAUGGGAAAAUGAUACUGUGUGUUCCGCCUCCUUAAUAAAUGUAACUGCUCUUUAUAUCUUGGAGUGUAG